UAGUUCAACUCAGUAAGUCUUCUGUGGUUCAUACAUUUAUACCAGUCAGUCUAGAAUGUUAUACCGCGUUUAACGCAAACUAUAUACAACUUUCAGCAACGGAUCUCUUGGCUCUCGCAUCGAUGAAGAACGCAGCGAAAUGCGAUAAGUAAUGUGAAUUGCAGAAUUCAGUGAAUCAUCGAAUCUUUGAACGCACCUUGCACUCCUUGGUAUUCCGAGGAGUAUGCCUGUUUGAGUGUCAUGGUAUUCUCAAUUCUAAUAACUUUUGUUAUUCGGAAUUGGACUUGGAGGUUUUUUGCCGGUGCUUCGGCGGCUGGCUCCUCUUAAAUGCAUUAGUGUGAAUCGAGUUACACGUUACUCAGUGUGAUAAUUAUCUGCGCUGUGUUUCAACGUUGACUUCAUAAGUGUUCAUGCUUAUAACCCGUCUGUUGACUCAGACACUUUACUUUGAAAUCUGACCUCAAAUCAGGUAGGACUACCCGCUGAACUUAAGCAUAUCAAUAAGCGGAGGAAAAGAAACUAACAAGGAUUCCCCUAGUAACUGCGAGUGAAGCGGGAAAAGCUCAAAUUUAAAAUCUGGCAGUCUUUGAUGUCCGAG
rnacentral:rRNA from 1 species